UAUUUCUUAAAUAAGUAAAAUUUUUAGGAAUUUAAUAAAUUUCUAAGUUCAGUAUAAUGGCCGUUAUUUGAAAAAGCAACCCAACCUUGGUUACUUUUGGCAUUUAAAUUAACGGUUUUUCCACAAUCGACGAUAGUUGAUGCCUAAGCACAACUGCUUCGCGAUUGAUAAUAAAGAUAGGUGGGAAUUGUGGAGAGAGGGGCUUGAUCCUUAGAUUUUGUCAAUUCCAUUCAUUUGCAUAUCAAACUUGUUAGAGAAAAGUAUGAAAACUUAAAAAAAAUUUAUAUUCGUAUCAUCAUUGAAACAAUUAUUGCAGUGUUGUUUUUGUAAAUUCUACGAAAUAAGGAAAAAUGUAAUCUCCAAUCCCCUCGAUUGUGUCACGAUCUUUGAGGUGUUAAUUAAGCGGACAACUGAUGAACAUACAUAUUAACUCCUGCAGCCUGAUCAACGAUAUAAUGUCAAAAUUUAAAACAUCGAGAAAGUAAAAGUUUCAAAUUAUAUGUCUCACAAAAUCUUCAAAAAUUACAGAAUAUAUAAUAGGAAAUGAAGAUAAAGAAAAGAAUGCGAUUACGGAGAAGAAUAUUUAAAUACAGAAUUAAAUGAUGAAGAUUUGCAAGAUGAUCUACAACUUGUUGAUAAUAUUACAGAUCAUUUAGAAGAUAAUUCAGGAGAAAAGGAUCAUCUUGAAUGUUUAGAGUUUAACAACAACGAUGAAGAUAUAUGAAAAGCAUCGAAUUUUCAUUAAAAAUCUUAUUGGAUUGGAUUCAAUUUUUAAUAAUUAAUUUUGAUAAAAUUUGAUAGAAUUUUCUUUCAACCAUUGGAUACA